UUGAUAUAUUAACAACUUUUUGUUAACAUUUUGACAACGGCCAUGUGUUAGCAAUCUAUUGGCUCAUUUAAUUUAUUUUUAUUUUAAAUGUUGACGUGAAAAGGCAAAAGGCUUUUGAUUUUCGUUCUCUCUCUUCCAUUUUAAAUUUACGUUCUCUCUCUGUCUUCCAUUUUGAUUUUGUUUCUCUCUCUCUUCCAUUUUAAUUUUCCUUCUCUUCCUUCUCUCUCUGUUCUCUCUCAUCGGACCACCAUCUUCACCAACGACCCCUUUCCCUUUUGUUCCACCAUCACCAACUGAAGAUGUUGUCGUCCUUCAUUACGGUAGUGCUUUUUUCGAUUCAACGUUCACCACUUAGACAACUACCACCUUUUCCCUUUGUUGGGUUGUGGGUUGCGAAAUGGAUACCUCUGGUGACUUUGGUGAUGGGAGUAAGUUUUGUGAGCGACAUUCUUUCAAAACCAAUUUAGUUGGUGCUUUGAAUCGAAGAUUGACUCCGGAGUAGAGGACCUGCAUAGAAAAGACAUAAUUUGGUUAGUUUUUAGAGUUGUUUGACAAUGUUAAGAUUGGUAGGUGUGUCUUGAAUGAGUUAUGUGUUAGAUGGGUUAGCUCGAGGGGUGGGUUUUUUUGGAGAGAAAAGUGUAGAAUUUAAGGAAAUGUAUGUGUAAGAGCGCAUGAAGGAAGAUGACGCGUACGUUAAAAAAAUCGUGCGCUAAAAACUCUCUACGUUGGAUAUGGUCCCA
rnacentral:sRNA from 1 species